UUGCUAGGUGGAUUAGUGGCGAACGGGUGAGUAAUACGUGAGUAACCUACCUUUAACUCUGGGAUAAGCCUGGGAAACUGGGUCUAAUACCGGAUACGACCAAUCUCCGCAUGGGGUGUUGGUGGAAAGCGUUAUGUAGUGGUUAUAGAUGGGCUCACGGCCUAUCAGCUUGUUGGUGAGGUAACGGCUCACCAAGGCGACGACGGGUAGCCGGCCUGAGAGGGGUGACCGGCCACACUGGGACUGAGACACGGCCCAGACUCCUACGGGAGGCAGCAGUGGGGAAUAUUGCACAAUGGGCGCAAGCCUGAUGCAGCGACGCCGCGUGAGGGAUGACGGCCUUCGGGUUGUAAACCUCUGUUAGCAGGGAAGAAGAGAGAUUGACGGUACCUGCAGAGAAAGCGCCGGCUAACUACGUGCCAGCAGCCGCGGUAAUACGUAGGGCGCGAGCGUUGUCCGGAAUUAUUGGGCGUAAAGAGCUUGUAGGCGGUUUGUCGCGUCUGCUGUGAAAGGCCGGGGCUUAACCCCGUGUAUUGCAGUGGGUACGGGCAGACUAGAGUGCAGUAGGGGAGACUGGGAAUUCCUGGUGUAGCGGUGGAAUGCGCAGAUAUCAGGAGGAACACCGAUGGCGAAGGCAGGUCUCUGGGCUGUAACUGACGCUGAGAAGCGAAAGCAUGGGGAGCGAACAGGAUUAGAUACCCUGGUAGUCCAUGCCGUAAACGUUGGGCACUAGGUGUGGGGGACAUUCCACGUUUUCCGCGCCGUAGCUAACGCAUUAAGUGCCCCGCCUGGGGAGUACGGCCGCAAGGCUAAAACUCAAAGAAAUUGACGGGGGCCCGCACAAGCGGCGGAGCAUGCGGAUUAAUUCGAUGCAACGCGAAGAACCUUACCAAGGCUUGACAUAUACUGGACCGCAUCAGAGAUGGUGUUUCCCUUCGGGGCUGGUAUACAGGUGGUGCAUGGUUGUCGUCAGCUCGUGUCGUGAGAUGUUGGGUUAAGUCCCGCAACGAGCGCAACCCUCGUUCUAUGUUGCCAGCACGUUAUGGUGGGGACUCAUAGGAGACUGCCGGGGUCAACUCGGAGGAAGGUGGGGAUGACGUCAAAUCAUCAUGCCCCUUAUGUCUUUGGGCUUCACGCAUGCUACAAUGGCCGGUACAGAGGGUUGCGAUACUGUGAGGUGGAGCUAAUCCCUAAAAGCCGGUCUCAGUUCGGAUUGGGGUCUGCAACUCGACCCCAUGAAGUCGGAGUCGCUAGUAAUCGCAGAUCAGCAACGCUGCGGUGAAUACGUUCCCGGGCCUUGUACACACCGCCCGUCAAGUCACGA
rnacentral:rRNA from 1 species